rnacentral:rRNA from 1 species
UACCAGCAGUCCAAGUAGCAGCCGCGUUUAUUGGGUCUAAAACAUCCGUAGCUUGUUUGACAAGUCUUGUGUGAAAUCCGGCAUCUCAAGUGUCGGGCGUGCACAAGAUACUGUCUUGCUAGAGACCGGGAGACGUAAGAAGUACGCAAGGGGUAGCGAUAAAAUGUGUUGAUCCUUUGUGGACUAACGAUAGCGAAGGCAUCUUACGAGAACGGAUCUGACAGUGAGGGAUGAAGGCUAGGGUCGCAAA